rnacentral:tRNA from 1 species
GCGCCCGUAGCUCAAUUGGAUAGAGCGGCUGGCUUCGAACCAGCAGGCUGGGUGUUCGAUUCACCCCGGGCGCGCCA